AUUCGGCACUUGACUUCUGACUACGCCAGCACAGCUGCACUACACGCGCGCGGCGCCUGCGCUAAGGGAAGGGCAGAGACACCCCCUUGCUGAACUUAGCUCGUCAGCGUUCGCACACAUAGACCGAGAAGAUACAAGUCAAAUUUGCCCAUACAGAGAGCCCUGCUGGUGCUCAAACCCCUUCACAGAGCAUAUAUAGACCUUUCAAAACAGAAAGCGCCGACAAACUAAAAGUACAACCCCCCUACACACACAUCCGCUCAACUACCCACCCCACUGUGUGCUGUGUUGUCUCCUUCACUACGCGCUUCUCCCUUCUCUCACGUAGUCUUGUCUUAACAUAGACUUACCGCCCGGCACUGCGUUGCGUCGCUGCGAGGCCCUCCCCCUCCAUUCUACGCGCUCACACGCAGCCACCACCUCCUACCGAAAUACGUGCACUGCAGGAAGGUUCACCCUUUUGACCGCGAGAACCACCAUGCCCGCAGCGUCCCGCUCGCUUGCCUCGAAGGGCACAGCUGCUGCAGCAGCGGCAGCGCCGAAGGGAAGGAGAGCAGCGGCCGUGUCGUCACUCCCGCCAUCACCCACACACGCCAGCCUCUCUGUUGACGAGCUACGAGCCACCCCAGAUAGCCGUCUGCUCUCCUAUCUCAUGAAUGCGUAUGACUCGGUGCGCGGGUUUUCGUUGGCGGCGCCGUCAACGGCCCCAUGCCCGGGCAGCACCCCUUUCUCGGCCACCUAUGUCGAGGAACUGCUCACGCCUCGGUUGCUCUCAAGCCCGAUCCCUGACGUUUCGCAACUCGUGGGCUGUCUCUUGUGCGAUGCUGUACGCAUACAUCACGAGCAGCUGCAGCUGCAGCAGCGCCAGCACCAGCACCGACAGCGGCGACACAGCGGCGACAGCACACUUACGUACGCCAGCUCCGGGAGCAGCGGCAGCACCAACUACACGCAGCCCGUCGACGGUCUCGAGACGGCGGGAGCGGAAUCGCUGCCUUUUCCGCGGGAGCGCUGCGCUGACGUGCUGCAUUGCAUCUGCACCUGCUUUGCCAGGCUUCCGUCUUCUCCUAUGAACGCGUCACCGUCAUCAGCGGCGCAUCAGCGCCCGUCGCUGCAACGCGUGGCGUAUCUGAUUGAGCGUGCUGCCGCGGCGCACAUCUUUCGCCACCUCCUGCCUCACUGCAGCCUGGCGUCGGAGGAGACGCAGCAGGCGCUGCGGUGGGUAUUCGAGGCUGUCCGUUGCGCCUCCUCUGCGCCUGCCGGCGAGCUGGGGAACCGCGGCAGCGUCGGCACUCCGACAAGCACUGCCACCUGCGGUGAGAUGGCGCAGGUUCUUCGCGAUAUCAUUUGCUGCACGAGCGUCGUGACACCGGCGCAUCUGGUGCCACUCCUGGAUGAGCUGGUCGUAGCAUCACCCACGCUAAGGCUGAUGUCUCUGUCCGCGUCAUCGUCGUCUUCCUUCUCCGCUUGCGCCCCAAGCGCGCGACAGAAUCGGCACCUGCCAGCGCACUGCGGCAGCAGUGGCGCUCUCAUCACGACCCGCCUGCUGCUGGAGCAGAUGGAUAUGCUGCAACCGGCCAUCGCGACGUGGGCCAUGGGGGAGUUUGAAGAGGGCCUUGCUGAGGUGCUUGCAUCCAAAGCGCGUCAGUCUGAGGACGAAGACCUGGAGGGCGAGGAAAGGCGCCACGGAAGCGACACGGACGAGGACGAGCCGCACCAGCAGCGGCGGCAGCAGCCACGGAUGAGGACAGCAAAGGCGCCGCAGGAGGCGCAGCUGAUUCACAAGCGUCGAGGCCUGCAGGUCAUGGCACACGUGCUCGAGGUGCUCGUAGCGCUGAUAGAGCUGCACGUCGACUUAGCAGAGCAGCUGCUUCCCGCUCUCGCGCCGCAUCUCGAGCACACCUGCCCUGAGGUGCGCCUACUGCUGCUGCGCGGCCUCAGCGCUGCCUUCGCUGCGAAUGAGGCGGCGGUCCGGUCCUACAGAGCCGCUUUCAUGGGCCCUUUACUGAAUCGUUUUCUCGAUGUCAAGCCCAACAUUCGCAUGGAAGCUGUCCGCCUGUCCACAAUGCUGCUCCAGCGCUUCGGCAACCACGCGAGGCCUGGGGCCGACCGUGAUGACCGUCACGCGAUUGGCUUGUCCACCAAUCUGUCUCGUAUGCAGUCGCUGCAGCAGGACCUCUGGAAGGCGUUCCAGCCCUGCUGGGAGCGGCUGCUCGCCGAUCCGCAUGUCCUUGUGCGCAGGCAGGCGGUUGCCUCAGUGACCGAGGCGGCGCUGGCGGCUCCGCUGCUGCUACAACCAACACCCCAUUCAGAAAGCAUCGACAACAGGGAUCUUCGCGGAGGACAGCAGGCAACACCCUCUCUCACGCGCAGCCCCUCCAACUUCCUCGCGCAGACGCUGGGCCUGCGCGCGCUUGAUAAGAACCGCCGCGUCCGCUGCGCCGCGGUGGACGGGCUGACGCGGCUGUACAGCGAAUACCGCCUCGUAUGGAUACCGAACGCGGUCCUGGAUGCAGUGCGCAUCGACGCCGGAUCGUCAUUGUCGUCAACAGCGCCAGCAACGUUGACAGCAGAGACGGUGGUCGAGGGUCUCUUGCCGGCCCCGUUUUCCUGCCUGUCGCCCACCUCGGCCACGUGCGCCGCUGCGGCCACUCAGGCCACCCUGACUCAGUGGUUGUCGCCGACGUCUCCAGCCGCUCUUCCGCUCACCAAAACGCCUGCCCUGCUCGAUUUUGAAAGAAACGCCCUUGAGGAGAAGCAGCUGUCUCAGCAGCACCCGCCAGGCGGGGACGAGUUCGACGAGGGCGAUGCGUUGCUCGGCUUUGGUGCGUCGGCCAGCUCGACAAAAGCUGUCACUGGCGGUGGUGUGCUCACCACAACGAGCAUCCCCAGCACUGCAUCGGCGGCGGCGGCGGUGUCGGCCUACGUGGAUGCCCUCGUGCAGCUCUGCCAGCACGUCGAUUCUGCCCACUUUGCGCAGCUCCUGCGCCUUUCGGAGAAGAAGCCGCAAUUGCGCCUUGCCAUCCGGCGGCUGUUCGAGUUUCACGCAGCGGUGAAGGAGAGCAACGGUGACGUCAAGUCCGCCGAGGGUCAGCAGCGCAUCCACUCGAUCCAUCGCCUCCUCACUUUCCUCCAGGAGACGACAGGGGCGCGCAAGGGAGAGUGGGAUGCUCUCUUUCGCGCCAAGGACGAGACGGUGCGGCGUGCGCUGCUGCGCGCAUGCGACGCGGCCCACACGGACUGGGUGGAGGUGCGUAAAGGGCUUCUGCGCUCGCUGCACGGUCGUAUCAGCGCCGACGAGUUCGCUUUUGUCAAGCAGACGCUGAUGCCACAGAUGGUCUUUGCCGUGAAACCCGCUCACCUUGCAGGGCUGAUGCAGCGGCUGCACCGCAGCAUCUACACCAGUGCCCGCAACGAAGUUGUAGUGGAUGGGGCCGGCGCCGCCGGCGCGCUGCGAGCGCUGCUGCUUCUCACCGCCGCAUCGCCGUCGUUCGCUGCGUUGAGCACUGAAGGGCUAGUAGAGGCACUACAAGCCGCCGCGAAGCAAUCCGUGGGACCUCCGCCGAACUGGUGCGGGCUGCUGUUGCAAGCGCUGCAGCGAUGGGCCACCGCCACCGCCACUAUGGCGGACAGAAACACCACUGCGACCACCGCUGCGACUUCUGCUCUGCACGACUCACUGAUCGCCACCCUUCGCGCGAUGGCGCUCGCGUCACUACCCAUGCAGCAGACCAUCCCAUCCUCUCUCGCUUCUACAGCGUUUGCACGGGACAACGACAGCUGCCGUGAUGGGACGGCCUUCUCAGCGGUGAAGCAGCUGGCAAAGCAAGCGACGCGCACACUAGUGGCGCUGCUGAGAGUCCCUGGCUAUAACACCAGUGCAGCGGCUGCGCUACACUCCCUCGCGUCGGAGUUGGCGAAGCGCCUCGCUAGCGGGCGAGCGCUCAUAAACGACGUCAAGACGGUUGCUUGGCUCGCGAGCGUCCAGGCCCUUGCGCGCUGCGGCGGUGGCAGCGGCAGCGACGACCGCACUUCGCGUGCAGCGGGUGCAGCGCUGCUGCUGCUCUCUACAGCGUCCUCUACAGCGGCGGCCACCACCGAAACGGAUGCAGGACCACUACCGGCGCUUCUGCUGUCCCUUUCCUCGCUGCUUGUCGCCGCUGUGGAGGACGUGUGCGGUAAGGCGGGCCAGUCGAGGCUCAAGGCUCUCGCGACCGCGUCUGCCGCGGCGGCGAACACCACCGCGGCAGCAACAAUGCCGGCCUGCGGUGCCCGCUCCUCCUCGCCUGUGAGCACCAAUAUGCCAGUCACUGCAGCCAUCGUGGAUGGGUCGGCCAAGGCCAUGGUGGCCCUGGUGCUGAGCUGCCCCAAGUCCUCGGACGCUGGUGGCAGUAGCACCGGUGUCGCCAGCCGCGCCAACUCCGUGAUAUGCGCAGUAGAUGCGCUCCUGAAAGGCUACAAAGCCUCCGUGGCGGUGGCGUCGGGGCGGCGUGGGCCAGCCAGCAUCGGCAGCUGUCAUUGUCGAAUCGCGCUUCAGAAGCAGCUUGUGAAGCUGUUGCUGACGCCGACACCGGACAUCGGCAGGGAGCUGGCUGUCUCUGUGGUUCUCUCUGUGGAAGAAAGCGCGCAUGUGCGUCACGCUGUGCAGGCGAAGCUCGCAGGUCAUCUUCUGCACCGCACCUGCGACAUGCGGGUGGCUGCCUUGUUGCUGCUGACUGCGAUCAGCGAGGACUCGAAGAGCUCCUAUCACCGACUCCGUGGGCUGGUGGAGACUGUCGGGGAUCACUUGCGGGCAAAACAGGUGAGUCAAGGUGCCUCGCUCUCAUCGCCAUCGGCGCUUUACUGCUACUGGGAGUACACUAUCCCAUUUCUGGUUCUCUUCCUCGCUCACCACCCGUACUACGCGAGCGAGGAGGCGGAGAAUCAGUUCGUUGGGUUCCAGCGCGUGUGGCACCUCCUUAUCGGCGAGCUUCUCCGCCACGGCACGCAGUGCGCUGGAUUUGUGGUGGAGCUGCUCAGCAAGAUCAAACAGUCAGACGACGCCCUGGCCCCGGGGAGCGAUGCGUGCCGCGUGAUGUGUGACCUUGCGAGUCGAGUGCUGCUGGAGUGCCUCGGUCAGCGGCAGAGCCGGGCCGAGGACCUUCGCCGCUACCCGGGUGCCGUGCUCUUGCCCUCCUUCUUUGUGCGCACGUCGCGCUCCAACCCGCAAAAGCUGCUGGAGACCGUUUUCCUCGACCAAGGCGUGCGUGUAACCGCCAAUGCCCCGUUUCGGAUGCCCACCGUCAGCGGGGGCGCCGCAGGGGCGGGCAGCGGCAGCCGCGGCAGCAGCCUUCAGGCCACUCCGCGCGCCUCGUCGACCGCCCUCUCUCGCGGAGCGGAUGGCGCCACAGACAUCAAUCACGUCUCCAGCUCCGCAGCACCAUACGGAGUGACGACUGCUGCUGCUGCUGCUGUGCCGCCGUCUCCGUUGAGGAAACGCGCACGCUCCCCGUCAACUGAGGUGAGCGCUGCUGUCUCUCUCUCGCCGCCGGUGAGGCCGCAAUGCGAGGAUGAAGUGGCUGAGGGGGAUGAGGGCAGCAUGCCGCAGCGCGAGUGCACUGAACCAGCCGUGGGGGAGAGCGCUAACAACUCGGACCCGCUGAGUGACUCCGCGAUUGCAUCGCAGGAGUGGAAUGCGAAGCGGGCGGCACUGCAGCGUCUCACCGUUGAGGAAGCGCUCGAUGACCUCUUCUGUGGACUCACCAAGACGGCCAUCGCGCAGCUGCGCUGGAAGGUCGUCCGCAGCCGCAUAGAGGAAGCUCUCCGUGCGCUGGACUGCAGUCGGCUCCCGCAGCAACCGCAACCACGCAUCACCAAUGAAGGCACUGGCGCUGAUCUGAUGGUGACGAAGGGUGCCUCGUUGCUGGAGUGCGACAUGGAGAACCUACUGCAGUACGCGAAAGAUCAGCUGCGGGUGCGGUAUGAUCGUGCCCCGGCGUAGGCACCUGCGCGCUCCGUUUUCGUGCACGCCUCCUCGAGUGUGGAGACACGCUCUUCGUAUAGACAGACAGACAUACAGACGGACAGAUACAUAGAGAGAUGGAGGGCAUGUGUGUGCUUGACGCGUGCGUCUUUCACCAGUGCUUGAGAGCGCCGCGCCCCACGCACCUCGCCCAUCUCGUCUUCUUUGCCGUUGCCUUUGGUUGCUUUUUGAUGAUGUGCGUGGCCGGCCUGUGGGGGGAGGGUCUGUUGGAUGGCCUGUGCUCCUCAGCACGUGCCACGUGGCGUUCUCCCUCUCCAUCACUGCGCCGUCUUUUUUUUUUAUGCCUGCGCGCGGGUGCAUGCUGUUGUGCAUGUGACGGCGUCCUUCGUUCAUCGCGCCUCAGUCUCUCGCGCAUCCAGCGUUGGCCGAAAAAAAGAGUUGCACGCAAGGUCUUGCCGCCGCCUCCCAGUAAAGAAAGAAGAGGGGAAGGCUGGGGGAAAGAGGGGUGCACAGCGAUGCGCUGGCGGAUGUCGUCCGAGGAGAGAAGAGGGGCGGGGGGCGGGGGUGCUAUUCGAGGCAAUCUCUCUCGCGACGCAUUACCGUCCCCGUCUGCCUUGCUCCUUCUGUGCGGCCCUCCACCUCGCUUGUUCUCACUUUUUGUGUGCUGGCAUGGCACUCUACAACGUAUGCAGAGUCAACGCAACAACACCAACACACGAACAUGCAUCGAGUUCGGCUGUCAGCGCUGUGCGCUCAGACAUAUCCGGUGCGUGGUUUUUCGCUUCUCUCGACAGUGGCGCCCUUGCCGUCGUCUGAUGAGGAACGCGCUGGCGCUGAGGAGGAGCAUGUCUGUGCUGGGGGGAGGGGAGGGGAGGGGAGGGGGACAAGCGGGGAUGGCUGGACAGUCCCGCAGAUGCCAUGCUAUCGCCGGCAUCCACAGCACACGGACCACCUGUGGCGCUGCUGCAAAGUGUGCCUCUUCGUCUUCUUUCCUGCCGUUUCUCUCUGCCACCUGCACACCACACGCACACUGAAG
rnacentral:misc_RNA from 1 species